CUACAAGCUAUUGGUUAUCUGUGUACUCUAUCGGAAUGUUCUUGUUUAUGGCGGGAGAUAUAAACUCAACAUUUUCUGUCUUAUAACAGUGAUUACAUCCAACAAAUCGCACAAUUUUAGUUUAAACAGCUAUCCAAUGACGGCCGGGCGCAAAAGUCUGUUUCUUUUCCUCAUGAAUCUGGCCUGGAAAUGCCGGUUCAGUAUGCCGUUACUCCUCAGCGGUACGAUGGCGUUAUUGGGGCAAGCCUGGAUGUUCCAGAUUCGAAUCCAAACCGUACAAGAACUGAAUGAGAAUGAGCUGGCAUAUUACGAUGAUGACGAUAUGGACGAUGACUCCCGGGACACUGAAUCCACAGACUCUUGGGAGACAAUAGUUGAAGAAGUGGCGUAUGGAUGACUGUUAUUCAGCUUAAUAUUCCACCAUGAUCACGCUCAUGUAUUGUUUAAUCGUUUAAUACCAGAGUAGAUUUUCUGGAAUAUAUGUCAGAACAACUUUGCCUUCAGCAUGAAAUUUACGAUAGUUAUCUAUACGAUAUUGUCAGUUUUUGACAGCUCGAAAAUGUGUUGUGUUACGUUUUAGUUCCCGAAAUAAUUUGUGUAGUAUACACGUAUUUUAUUCGAGCCGUUUAGUUCCAAAUAUGCCCACGGUGCGCUUCUAAAGUAUCUAUUACUAUCACGUCAAUACUAUUGUUAGCAAGAUUUCAUUAUAACAUGACGUGAUUCGUUUACGUUUCAACUUUGCUGCUCUGUAUUAAGGUUCAUUUUACAAUGUAUAUUAUCAAAUAACUUAAUGUCGACGGUAGCAUUGAUUCCAAAUUAUUAUUGUAGUCGAACUAAGGUCAAUACCAGAUAGUCUGUGCGCAAAAUGAACCGUCGUAACGGAGGUCAAAACAGUGUUAAUUUACCUUUUCGUUAUGUCAUUAUUUGACACUUUUGACAUUUACGCCUGUAUUCUUUGACAGUUACCGCACAGAGUAUCUGUAACAGUCUAAUUGUCAAAGGUUUUUGUGGUCUUGACACUUCUACGGUAUUUUUGUCAAUUUACGUCGAUAAGUCAGUUCUGACAGCUUACAGCUAUUACAAAUUAUGAGUGUUUAGUUUAUUAUGAAAUAAAAUAAAUAAAUCCAUGUAAAAUUUUGUUAUAAUCUAACAAAUUGUCUUACAUAUAAAUAAUUAUUUUAUAGUGUUUCCUAAUACUGUAGUAAUAGCACCAAACCCUAGUGUAAGAUUCUGAAAGACUUAGCGUUGAGUAUGACUCCUGUCUGCCAAAAUCCAAUAGGUUAGGAAUAAAAUCUUUAUUCUAAAAUGAUAAUUUAGUUCUGCC